AGAUCCCCCCGGAAGGCGUGAGCGGCGAGGCCGGCCGCUUCCCCGACGGGAGGGUCCCUCCGGGAGCCCGCGACCAGGGUCGGGGUCCGCAGGCCGCAACUCGGAAACCCCGAGGAGAACCGCCAGCUCUAUAAGCAGAUCAUCGGCUUCCUAAGAGGCCAUUUCUUUGGCCGCUCCCAGCUCCGGCAGGAAGCGGCCGGUCCGUUCGACUACGGGACCGCGAUGCUCAAGUGCCCGGAAGCCUUCGAGGACGAAGAUCUGUGAGGCGGCGGAGGGACAGCGGCCGGCUGAGGGGACUGAACCGCCCCCCCCCCCGGCCCGCGGGCAUAUUCCGAUGGGCUCCGGGUUCAAGUUCUUAUAAAGAGUUGGAAAGAGUGA